rnacentral:rRNA from 1 species
UACGUAGGGGGCAAGCGUUAUCCGGAAUUACUGGGUGUAAAGGGUGCGUAGGCGGCACGCCAGGUCAGUUGUGAAACCCGUAGGCUCAACCUACGGCUUGCAAUUGAAACUGGCGAGCUAGAGUACAGGAGAGGAAAGCGGAAUUCCUAGUGUAGCGGUGAAAUGCGUAGAUAUUAGGAAGAACACCGGUGGCGAAGGCGGCUUUCUGGACUGAAACUGACGCUGAGGCACGAAAGCGUGGGGAGCAACCAGG